UAUCAUAUCGUCCUCACUUCCACAUUUGC
rnacentral:piRNA from 1 species